AAAUCAGUUCUCUACAUAUCGCCAUUAAAAUUUGCCUAUAAAACGUAUUAUGGCCAGUUUUUAUCGGUAAUGCAUCAAUAAAAGUCGCUAGUGUAACCGACCCGUAUAAAUUGGCCAACUAAACAAUGGCAUACGCAGUAUCGCUCCACAUUUCUUCGUGGCUAGUUUUUGCAUUCACGGGCGUAUAUCACAGUUAUUUCAAAACCCCGCUCAGGCCAACACGUCUUCGUAGUUUUUAAUUAAAUUAUAUGUGCCCUCUGCUGUUGGUAUGUGCGUAAAUCUACACGUGUCUAAAAGCGUCCAGAUAUCCGUGAGCACGUGUGAAAGCCGCAACACUCGGAUUUGCAUUGGAAGGAUGGCGAGUGCGAACGAGACAACGGCAGAUCGAGAUAACGGCUGACCUGGUGACAGGGAUGUGUAAGGU